AGCAGCUUCAGCUUCCUCAGCUCCCAAAGCUAUCUUAAAGUUGUCUCAAGCAAGUCUAACAACAGAAUAAUGUCUGAAGAAAAGCAGAGGUCUCACAGCCUGAUGUUCCAGUGAGGCCCAGAAGAACACUGCACCUGGAUACCAGCCAACAGCCCCUCACUUCACCCUGGGAAACAAGGCUUAUUAUCAAUCUGCUUCAUUAAGGAGGAAGCCUCAUGAAAUAUGGCAUCUACUGGAUUUGCUUCAUUGGUGAUGAAUCCAAGAGUGAACUCCAGAUUAUCCAGUUUGAAGUACCUCAAGGUUGUGGGCUAGUGAGCACAUGUAAUUCCAUUUUGAUAUAUUCCAUGUGUAAUUUUUCCACAUGUUGA